rnacentral:rRNA from 1 species
AUUGAACGCUGGCGGCAGGCCUAACACAUGCAAGUCGAACGAGUGGCGGACGGGUGAGUAAUGUCUGGGAAACUGCCCGAUGGAGGGGGAUAACUACUGGAAACGGUAGCUAAUAACGCAUACCAUCGGAUGUGCCAAGAUGGGAUUAGCUUGUAGGUGAGGUAACGGCUAACCUAGGCGACGAUCCCUAGCUGGUCUGAGAGGAUGACGAGACACACUGUAAGUGAUACACGGUCCUGACUCGUACGGGAGGCAGUAGUGGGGAAUAUUGCACAAUGGGCGCAAGCCUGAUGCAGCCUGUCCGCGUAUAUGCAGAAGGCCGUCGGGUUGUAUAGUACGUUCAGCGGGGAGGCGUGACCCGCAGAAGAAGCACCGGCGAACUCCGUGCCCGCCGACGCGGUAAUUC